rnacentral:rRNA from 1 species
AGUGAACGUUGGCGGCGUGGAUUAGGCAUGCAAGUCGAGCGAGAACCGUAGCAAUACGGGGACAGCGGCGAAAGGGACAGUAAUGUGUAGGUACCUACCCCGGGGUCUGGGAUAGCUGCGGGAAACUGCAGGUAAUACCGGAUAAUGUCUUCGGACCAAAGGUGUGAUUCCACCUUGGGAGGGGCCUGCAUCCUAUUAGCUUGUUGGCGGGGUAACGGCCCACCAAGGCAACGAUGGGUAGCGGGUGUGAGAGCACGACCCGCGUCAUUGGGACUGAGAUACUGCCCAGACACCGACGGGUGGCUGCAGUCGAGGAUCUUCGGCAAUGGGCGAAAGCCUGACCGAGCGACGCCGCGUGCGGGAUGAAGGCCUUCGGGUUGUGAACCGCUGUCGUAGAGGAGGAAAUGCAGGGGGGUUCUCCCUUCUGUUUGACCUAUUCUAGGAGGAAGGACGGGCUAAGUUCGUGCCAGCAGCCGCAGUAA